GAUGAACGCUGGCGGCGUGCCUAACACAUGCAAGUCGAGCGAUUUACUUCGGUAAAGAGCGGCGGACGGGUGAGUAACGCGUGGGUAACCUGCCCUGUACACACGGAUAACAUACCGAAAGGUAUGCUAAUACGAGAUAAUAUGCUUUUAUCGCAUGGUAGAAGUAUCAAAGCUUUUGCGGUACAGGAUGGACCCGCGUCUGAUUAGCUAGUUGGUGAGGUAACGGCUCACCAAGGCGACGAUCAGUAGCCGACCUGAGAGGGUGAUCGGCCACAUUGGAACUGAGACACGGUCCAAACUCCUACGGGAGGCAGCAGUGGGGAAUAUUGCACAAUGGGCGAAAGCCUGAUGCAGCAACGCCGCGUGAGCGAUGAAGGCCUUCGGGUAGUAAAGCUCUGUCCUCAAGGAAGAUAAUGACGGUACUUGAGGAGGAAGCCCCGGCUAACUACGUG
rnacentral:rRNA from 1 species